rnacentral:lncRNA from 10 species
GCUAUAAAAAAAUUUUUUUAAAUGAGGCCAGUACAUAAAACACUGCAAUGAUUUCUUAGGAAUUUAAAAGAUACCUGACGCAGAGUAAACGUUCUACUAAAUAUUUGAUGAAUGAAAGAAAAGAGGAAAAUACAGCUUUACACUCAAGAAAGAAACAAAAGGAACAAGUUGCUUUUCCAUUUUUUUGCUAAACAACACUGAAAUGAGUGUACUUUUUACAUGUAUUUAGGAAUAAUUUUGCAAAGAUUUUCCUGGGAGAUGCAUGGUAAAGGAAUCACUACUGUUGAAGAUCGGCUAUGUAGUCAAAAGUCUGCCCCAAUGUAUGGUACCAAUUUUGACUUUUACCAGUAGUGUAAGUGAAUAGCUACUUCCCUACAUCCUCACCAAGACUGGACAUUAUAAAGUUUUAUAUUUUUGCUAAUAUGGAAGAUCAUUUUAUUUCUUAGCAGAAUAAGGUUUAGCACUGUUUUAUAUGCUUAUUGGGGACAUAAUUUUUUUUAAGAGUCUUUUUAUAUCUAUUGCUACACAAAUGGCCGAUGUUUUCCUUUGUUUUUAAUUAUUCAUAUUUUCUUCAUAGUACCCAUACGUUUUUGGUUUUAACAAAUGUCUAAAAAUUUAUUUAUGUUGGAAAUCUGUGUUUAAACUACUUCAAUUAUUUGGUUAGUAUGUGGUGUUCUUGAGGUAAAUAUCAUAGAUUUGAUAACAGUAUGUGGUAAUUUAUUUCACCUAGAAAAACUGGCUAGGGAAUAUACAACCACUUCCAGCCAUUCUGUAUGCAGGUGAAUCUUGGUUUCCCUGUGGGCAAUGAUGUAUGGAACUUACGAACAAUAUGGGCAGAUCAACAAACAGCACAUAAAGGGGACGAGACACACACACACAGAGACAGAGAGAGAGAGAGAGUGCAAAGCAAGGCAAGGCAAGAGGAGUAAGAAGGUCAUUAUGCAAUCUUUCUCGGACUCAGCUCUCUAAUUCUUAAGAACUAUUAUCCUCCAUUUACAGUUAAGUAAACUGAGGCCCUGGAAAAUGAGGCACUUUAGUUUUAAAAGCUGCUAAAGUCUAUUGCUACAUCAUGCAGCUAGCCUGGGCUCUGCUUUGCUUGUGUCAGUCAGCUCUGAAGAAGUCUCUGUCCUGUAAUUUAGACUGUAUGCCAUUAAGUGGGAUUAGUUCAGGGAAAUUCACAGGAAUAACAAAAGACAGAAAACAUGAGGAUGAUGGGCCCCACCCCAGGACGGAAAAUGUGUGGAAACAUCAAGGGAAUAAAAGUGUGUCAGUUUCAGUUCUGGACUCCACAUUUUGCUAGGGACAUUACCAACUAUCCAGAAGACAGAGAUGGGAAAUGUAAAGGGACUGCAAAAAAGCCAUGUUACAUAAAGAACCGUGAAAGAAACUGGAAAUAAUUUCCUUAGAGGACAGAAGAUUCCUAGGAAAUAAGACAAUGAACAAUGAGUGUUGGAGAAUGUCCUUUCCUGCCUCUUAAUCAUUCUGAAUCGAAACUAAUGAUAAACUUCAAUCAAUGACAUUGAGGGGAUGGGUAAGGGAUAAUAUAAAGAGUCCUCUAUGCAUGCUAAUUUGUUGUUACAUGUGACCUAAGAUGGUGGUUUCUUGCUUUAAAGACCUUACUAAUCAUUACAGAGUAUUCUUAUUCUCUGCUCAAUAAUUUGGAAAUGACUUAGGUCCUGUAACUCUCUGUGUCUCUAAUUUCUGAUCUCUGUAUUCAUCCAUGCUGUCUUUAGUACAAGUAUUUAUUUAUGUAGACUUCCCUUGUUCUGUUCUUUAUGUUACAUGGAGGAAAUUCUGAGAAACUUCAUCAGUAGCACUAUGAAACUCCUUCCAUACAGAACAGUCUAGAACAGGCAUUGUCAAACUGGGCUAAAUCUGUUCUGCCAUCUGCUUUUCUAAAGAAAAUGUUGUUGGAACACAACCACGUUCAUUCAUUUCUGUAUUGUCUGUGGCAGAGAUUGACCAUCACGAUAGAGACCAUAUGAGUUGAAAAGCCUAAAACAUUUAUUACCUGGCUCUGAACAGAAAAUACUUGCUGACUUCUGGUCUGGAACAGCACUGUGUAUAUACCUCAGGUUUAAUACUGGAAGUCUCCAUUAGUCCUUCUUCAGAGGUGACUAGAGUGCACAGUCAUAAUGACAGGGCCCCAAGGACUUCUCUAACUCACACUCCCUGUCCAGUCACCUUCACUGCAACAACCAUCUUACCAAGGGGUGCUGUCACUGCUCCUGUCCACUUUCUGGCCGUCAGAUGCCUCGAGAGUUCUUCUUGCCCUUGAUAAGGAAUAAACUUGUCAGUUGCAUGUGGCAGUUUUUCAACUGAUUUGGGAGAUGAUGCAGAUUUUGCUAUUUCUUAACUUUCAAUUGUUGUGUUUUCUGGUUCUCAGUAGGGAGACAUGAAGAAAAUUGCUGAUUCCCUUCAGUUAAAUAACAGUUUAGAUUAAACCAGCAAGAACUUUUGCUCUUUAAUAAAAUGCAAAGUUACCAUGCCUUUCUCCGGCUCGAUCAUUCAUGCAUCAUAAUGUGAAUGGAGUUGUAGGAGUAUGAUGUUUAUUCUCACAAUAGGUUUAAUUCUGAGUAAAAGCACUAAUUGAAAAAUCAGAAGAAUUUUGUCUUUAAGAGCUCAUGUUAAUGCAUGCAUUCAUCCAUCUGAAUUUUGAUGAUCUCGGUUUUUUUCUGUGUAAAUUCUUAUCAGAAUGGAGUGACUCUAAAUUGCGCCCUGCUUGUAACUUUCAUGUAUGAUUUGCUCCCUUGUUGUUUACCAGCCCUUUUAAAACUACAUAGUAGAAAGAAAAUAUUUUAAACAAUGUCACAUCCAGACGGUGAUUUCUCAAAGCUUCAAAUGCAGGCUUUAAUCCUUCUCCCAGGUUAGCCAGACUCAGGCUGCUGCACAGCACUGGGGCUUUUCAGACACAUUAAGGAUUCUGGACAGGCUUCACCCCAGACACCCUUGUGCUC